UUUCCAGAAGGAUGAGAAAGAGUUUCUGUACCCUCACUUCACCUUUAGGAUGGUUUCUAGUCACAAUGCACACGGGAAAACCCCUGCCAACUGACAACACACAGCAGCCUCCAGUAACCCAGGUCAGGCUUGAAGACACUGAAGGAAAUGCCUAUAAGUAAUGAACUGCUUGUCUUUUAACACCUGUUGAGACUUCACUGUUAAAGAGUUAGAUGAUCAGCUCAGAUGUACACAUCUAUGCUGCUGACACACACAUGAGAAGCCCAUCUAUUAAGACAUCUAUAUACUUGGACGACAUUUUAAUUUGGAGGUGCUGAAAUCAAGUUCACAGCACUGAAGCAGAGGCAUCAAGAAAAAGUGCUGAAGGGUCACAAGGAACAAAAAUGCCUCUAGAAGGCUGGGUGGAAACGGUAGCUGGAACAGUUAUGAACUGGAGAAAAUGAAGAAA